CACAUGGUUACAUUUCUUCCUUGCUAUAUAAGCACCUAAUUUUAGUCACGUGAGACGGAUUUGAGACUGAUCUGCCAUUCUCCUUGGCUGCAACACUUGAAUAAAGCCUUCUUUUCUGGCGAUACUCACUGUUCCAGUAAUCAGCUUUCUAUGUGGCAAGCAAAAGUACCUGGACCAAACCCCUGGCAUUUCGGAAAAAAAACAAGUUACUUUUAAUGCCGUCAUCAUCAUUAUCAUUACUAUCAACAACAACAAAACAAUAAGGACAAUAAACAGGAAUUGGACACCUCUGCAGUCCUUGAGGGAAGCAACAAUAUUAAAGAAGCCUGUUCAUCCUUGAGUAGAAGCAACAGAAGAUAAUACCCAAAUGCUGACUGCCGUUGUGGAAAAAACUCACCCAUAUCCUGCCUGUAGUUAACGGCAGAGGUACUGCAUCCUGCAGUGUUGGAAUGGUCUAAGGAGGCUGCUGAGUUGGAUCUCACUGGCUUACAUGUUCAUCUAAACCUCUUUCCUAUGGAUUCAUGCGUAUGCCUGGUUUUUGUCUAAUGCCAGAUCUGAGGUAGAGUGAAUGUGUGCCCUUCCCCAUUACAAACACUUGGAUUGAUAUCUUCUCUUGGGUUAGAGAAUAGAAUUUCCUUCUGAGGAUAAAGUGGACAGUGUGCAUUAGAUCUAUCCCAUGAAGUUCCUGCUGGUUAUGGUGAAUGGGAACCAACCUCACUAGGGUGAAAGUUAAAAUUCACCACUGAUUGAAUUAGAACAAUUGUUCAUGCUGUUCAAGAGCAGAGAACAGUCUGAUAUCUAAAGAGUUUAGUUAAGCCCCAAGGAGCAAUUUUUCUCUCCUGUUCUAAGUUUUCCUCUUGAGUUUUUCCCCUGUGGGAAUUAUUAUCGUGUUUGCAACAUUGAAAGUUUUGAUUGACAUUUCCUACACUUGCAGGUUUUUAACACAAACUUCAGUUUGAUGACAAUAUAACCAAAUCCCAGGGACAUGAAUAAAACACUCCUUUUAAAUUUUUA
rnacentral:lncRNA from 1 species